GCGUUGAUGGUGCAAUGGUUAGCAUUGUUGCUAUCCAAGCAAUAGAUCUGGGUUCGAUUCCCGGUCAACGCA
rnacentral:tRNA from 1 species